rnacentral:rRNA from 1 species
GACGAACGCUGGCGGCGUGCCUAAUACAUGCAAGUCGAGCGGACUGAUUAAGAGCUUGCUCUUAUGACGUUAGCGGCGGACGGGUGAGUAACACGUGGGCAACCUGCCCUGUAGAUCGGGAUAACACCGAGAAAUCGGUGCUAAUACCGGGUAAUAUCUGAGAUCACAUGAUCUUAGGUUAAAAGAUGGCUCCGGCUAUCACUACGGGAUGGGCCCGCGGCGCAUUAGCUAGUUGGUAAGGUAAUGGCUUACCAAGGCGACGAUGCGUAGCCGACCUGAGAGGGUGAUCGGCCACACUGGGACUGAGACACGGCCCAGACUCCUACGGGAGGCAGCAGUAGGGAAUCUUCCGCAAUGGACGAAAGUCUGACGGAGCAACGCCGCGUGAGUGAUGAAGGGUUUCGGCUCGUAAAGCUCUGUUGUUAGGGAAGAAACAGUACCGAACGAACUAGGUCGGUACCUUGACGGUACCUAACCAGAAAGCCACGGCUAACUACGUG